UGGGGAAUAUUGGACAAUGGGCGAAAGCCUGAUCCAGCAAUACCGCGUGUGUGAUGAAGGCCUGCGGGUUGUAAAACACUUUCGUUGGGGAAGAAAUGCUCAAAGUUAAUACCUUUGAGAGUUGACGUUACCCAAAGAAGAAGCACCGGCUAACUCUGUGCCAGCAGCCGCGGUAAUACAGAGGGUGCAAGCGUUAAUCGGAGUUACUGGGCGUAAAGGGCGCGUAGGUGGAUAUUUAAGUCGGAUGUGAAAUCCCCGGGCUUAACCUGGGAAUUGCAUUCGAUACUGGAUAUCUCGAGUAUGGUAGAGGAAAGCGGAAUUCCCGGUGUAGCGGUGAAAUGCGUAGAUAUCGGGAAGAACAUCAGGGCGAAGGCGGCUUUCUGGACCAAUGCUGACACUGAGGCGCGAAAGCGUGGGGAGCAAACAG
rnacentral:rRNA from 1 species